rnacentral:rRNA from 1 species
AAUCGCAAGAGGAAAUACAACAAAAAUAAUAAGUAUAAUUCAGGACCACAACAGAAGCCACGCACUUCAUAUCAUGGUAAUGGAGGUAAUGGGCAUAAUCAUCAUGGAGGUAAUGGACAUAAUCAUCAUGGAGGGAAUGGCCACAACCAUAAUGGCCACCAUCAUCACAAUGGGCACAAGAGUAACAAUGGCAAUGGUAGAGGUAAUGGUAAUGGUAAUGGUAAUGGAGGGAAUAAUAACCAGAGCCACCAGAGUAUGCCUGUGCAGAGGGAUAUUAGCCAGGUUCAAUGCUAUAAGUGUAGGCAGAUGGGCCACUACUCCAAUGCUUGUCCAAGGAACAAGAACGGAAAUGGGGAUUCAGGAGUCAGCAAGCCAAACCCCUUCCAAAAGGGUCAUGUUAACCAUGUUGAUGUUGAG